rnacentral:rRNA from 1 species
UACAGAGACUGCAAGCGUUAUUCGGAUUCACUGGGCGUAAAGGGUGCGCAGGCGGCCAAGUGGGUGAGGCGUGAAAGCCCGGGGCUUAACCCCGGAAUUGCACCUCAAACUACAUGGCUAGAGCAUUGGAGAGGGUAGCAGAAUUCAUGGUGUAGCAGUGAAAUGCGUAGAUAUCAUGAGGAAUACCAGAGGCGAAGGCGGCUACCUGGACAAUUGCUGACGCUCAGGCACGAAAGCGUGGGGAGCAAAAGGG